rnacentral:rRNA from 2 species
GACGAACGCUGGCGGCGUGCUUAACACAUGCAAGUCGAACGAAGAGCGAUGGAAGCUUGCUUCUAUCAAUCUUAGUGGCGAACGGGUGAGUAACGCGUAAUCAACCUGCCCUUCAGAGGGGGACAACAGUUGGAAACGACUGCUAAUACCGCAUACGAUCCGACCUCGGCAUCGAGGAUGGAUGAAAGGUGGCCUCUAUUUAUAAGCUAUCACUGAAGGAGGGGAUUGCGUCUGAUUAGCUAGUUGGAGGGGUAACGGCCCACCAAGGCAAUGAUCAGUAGCCGGUCUGAGAGGAUGAACGGCCACAUUGGGACUGAGACACGGCCCAGACUCCUACGGGAGGCAGCAGUGGGGAAUCUUCCGCAAUGGACGAAAGUCUGACGGAGCAACGCCGCGUGAGUGAUGACGGCCUUCGGGUUGUAAAGCUCUGUUAAUCGGGACGAAAGGUCUUCUUGCGAAUAGUUAGAGGAAUUGACGGUACCGGAAUAGAAAGCCACGGCUAACUACGUGC